CGUGUAGGCGGGUCUUCAAGUCGGUUGUGAAAUCUGGUGGCUUAACUGCCAGCCUGCAUCCGAAACUGUAGAUCUUGAGUACGGGAGAGGAGAGCGGAAUUCCAGGUGUAGCGGUGAAAUGCGUAGAUAUCUGGAAGAACACCCGUAGCGAAGGCGGCUCUCUGGCCCGAUACUGACGCUAAAGCGCGAAGGCUUGGGUAGCAAACAGGAUUAGAUACCCUGGUAGUC
rnacentral:rRNA from 1 species